CGGUAGUUCAGUUGGUUAGAAUGCCUGCCUGUCACGCAGGAGGUCGCGGGUUCGAGUCCCGUCCGG
rnacentral:tRNA from 22 species